GCCUACGGGUGGCUGCAGUGGGGAAUAUUGGGCAAUGGGCGAAAGCCUGACCCAGCAACGCCGCGUGAGGGAAGAAGGUUUUCGGAUUGUAAACCUCUGUCCUUGGGGACGAAAAAAAUGACGGUACCCAGGGAGGAAGCCCCGGCUAACUACGUGCCAGCAGCCGCGGUAAUACGUAGGGGGCGAGCGUUGUCCGGAAUUACUGGGCGUAAAGGGUGCGUAGGCGGUUGUCUAAGUCAGAUGUGAAAUCCCCGGGCUUAACUCGGGUGGUGCAUUUGAAACUGGGCAACUAGAGUGCAGGAGAGGGAAGCGGAAUUCCUAGUGUAGCGGUGAAAUGCGUAGAUAUUAGGAGGAACACCAGUGGCGAAGGCGGCUUUAUGGACUGUAACUGACGCUGAGGCACGAAAGCGUGGGGAGCAAACAGGAUUAGAUACCCCGGUAGUC
rnacentral:rRNA from 1 species